UACAGAGGGGGCAAGCGUUGUUCGGAAUUACUGGGCGUAAAGGGCGCGUAGGCGGCCUCUUAAGUCGAACGUGAAAUCCCCGGGCUCAACCUGGGAACUGCGUCCGAUACUGGGAGGCUUGAAUCCGGGAGAGGGAUGUGGAAUUCCAGGUGUAGCGGUGAAAUGCGUAGAUAUCUGGAGGAACACCGGUGGCGAAGGCGGCAUCCUGGACCGGUAUUGACGCUGAGGCGCGAAAGCUAGGGGAGCAAACGGG
rnacentral:rRNA from 1 species